rnacentral:rRNA from 1 species
AGCAGCCGCGGUAAUUCCAGCUCCAAUAGCAUAUAUUAAAGUUGUUGCAGUUAAAAAGCUCGUAGUUGAAUUUCGGGAUCAUCAGGUUGGUCGUAUCUCUGGUAUGUACUGAUUUCAAUGGUUUCUCCUUCUUGUAGAACCGUAAUGCCAUUAAUUUAGUAUUGCAGGAAAACAGGACUGUUACUUUGAAAAAAUUAGAGUGUUUAAAGCAGGUAGUCGCUUGAAUACAUUAGCAUGGAAUACUGAAAUAGAACGUUUGAUCCUAUUUUGUUGGUUUUUAGGAUUGACGUAAUGAUUAAUAGGGAUAGUUGGG